GCCAGGGGACUACGAGCGCAAGCUUAAAACCCAAAGGACUUGACGGUGUCCCACCCACCUAGAGGAGCCUGUUCUAUAAUCGAUAAUCCCCGAUACACCCAACCCCCUCUUACAUAUGCCCAGCCUGUAUACCUCCGUCGCAAGCUUACCGCCUGAGCGUCACAAAGUAAGCCAAAAGAUCAACACAUCCAUACGUCAGGUCAAGGUGCAGCCCAUGAGGCGGCAAGAAAUUGGCUACAAUCUCUACCCUAGAACAAACGGAAAACUGUUGCAACACAGCUCUGAAGGCGGAUUUAGAAGUAAAAAGAAAACAGAGAGUUCUUUUUAAACUGGCACUGGGACGUGUACACACCGCCCGUCACCCUCUUCGAAAUACUAACAUACUGUUCAUAACACCCCACCCAACCACAUAGAAGAGGCAAGUCGUAACAUGGUAAGUGUACUGGAAAGUGCACUUGGAUACAAAAUGUAACUUAACAAAAGUGCCUUGCUUACACCAAGGACAUGUCUGUGAAACCCUGACCAUUCUGAGCCUAAAACCCAGCCCCAACACCAACAACAAACCUCCACAAACAAAUAAAACAUUUUACUACCUAGUAAAGGCGAUUGAAAGGUGACUAAGAG
rnacentral:rRNA from 1 species